GUGCUUCAGUGAUUUACAGUUCCCACAAAUUGAUAUCCAUCCUUUUCACUUUGUCAGCUCUGUCCUCCAUGGCUUGCUGAUCAUUGUUGGAUGGGAGAUCU